AUGGGAGGCGGCAGGGCAUGGUGUGCCAACUGGCUGGUUCGUCUCCCGUGUUCUACUCUUCCUCGGCGGAGACCGCGCCUUCACUUCAUGGGUCUUGAUACAUGCCGCUGUUCAUGGAGAAGACAUAUGGAGGACAUCGUCGCCAAUGCGGAAGUACAACGGAAAGUGGACAAAGGUCACCGCUAUAGAAUAGGUUUAGGGUCAGCCAACAAUAACUCCCCCAGCCCUGCAUGCAUCGGCCAAAAGAAACAACUUUGUGGAGAAGAAAGGAGGAGGAGCCGAGGUGAAGCACACCUAAUAACUGCUCUGUGCAUGCAUGCAAAUCAAUGCUGCCAUCAUUGCAUUUUCAUGAGGAUGACCAUGCGCAAUCUCUGA
rnacentral:rRNA from 1 species